rnacentral:lncRNA from 1 species
UCUUUGUCUUCUAAGGUCUGGGUUAAAGAUGUGUGCCACCACGCCUAGUCUACUAUGUUAUUUAUAUAGGAGACAUAAGCAUCCUUGGUUUGUGGUAUUCAGGGAAAGUUCUGGAAACAACAUCCUUUGGGUAUCAAUAAAUGAACAAGCCCACUUGGUUCUGAAGCCUGAGACGGUAUCAGAACCUAAGGAAAGGCUGAAGUGCAUCCAGAAGGCUGGAGCAGCCUGAAUGCUGGCAGGUGAAGGAGGCCUGACUGGUGAGUAACAGCGGGACUGCCUGAGCAGGAACUGGGGAGCAAGGCUCCUGUGCUGAGCCUGGGCCCAACAGGCAGGGGCACGGGCAGGGGCAGGGGCAGAGCCGUUGGCAGAAUGGGUCUAGGCGCCUUGAUGUAGGGCAGCUGACCAGUCAUUUGAUCUUUUUUCACAUAAAUCACUAGUCCAGAUCAAUGGAAGCCAGGAUCAAAAUGACAGCUGUUUCGAUUUGAUUAAUAGCCAUCUUCUCCAGCCCUUAAAAUGUCCUUUUUGGAAAAGGUUAGAACAAAGUUCAUGGCCAAGGACAGGUUUCCCACCCUUGAUAGGAGAGUGAGAGAAAUUUUGUCAAAGCUGUUCUCUGUGUUAGUUCCCCAGAAGGCUUCAUUGUAACACUUCCUUGGUCACAAAGUCCUCACAGCCAGUCUAGGUUCUAGGUCCAGAUACUGUGUCAGCUAUUGCUCCAUCCCAUGUCAUUCCAGCCUCAGAGGUCAGCCAACUUUUUUUUUUUUUAAAAGGGCCAGAGCCAGGCAGUAAAUGUUUUCAGGUUUGAGCUGGUCUCCAUCACAGUGGGUUAGCUCUGUCAUUGACUCUAUAGGCAGCCUUAGAGAAUAUAUUAGUAGGAAUACUUGUGUUCUGAGAAACCUUUAUUUCCAAAGCCAGGCACUGAGCACCGAGCGUCAUUUUCAGUCUUGAUGGGGCUCACUCUGUUUAGGGUACUCUCAAGCUGUGCCAAUCUGCUCCGUUUCAGUAUGGCUUGGCCCCUCAUUCUUCAGCAUAUGCGCCUGUGGCAGGACAGGGUUCCAAGAAAGGGCAGAAGCCCUUGAGGUUUCUUGAGGUUUGAAACUGGGACACUGUUCCUUUAAAUGCUGUUGACCAAAGCAAGUCACAACACAAGGCCAAGAUUCAGGAAGAGAGGUUGAAUUGUGGGGCAAGGGGCAGGGAUGGAGGCAAGACAGUCUAGGCUUUUAGGGCUGUUCGUACUAUCAACUCACCCUGAGGUUUAGAGACAUCAGUGAUGGACCUAAUGUCGUAGCUUUUAAGGAUGACAACAAGAUGCACACCGUGCAUUCUGAGUCCACUCACUACCCGUGUGCUUUCUACUAAACUGCUUCACUCUUUCCCAGCCUAACCAGCCGUGAGAAAGAGGGCCCUGAUGUUGACUGAUGGCUGUCAUGUUUCCCCUCCCCCCCUGCUACCAGAUAUUCCCCUUAGCCCUUUCCUUGUUUUGACCCACAGCUGGACUCUCUCUCCCAUCUGCUGCCGAGUUCCAUAAAGAAGAUGUUAAUGCUGCACUUGGGUUAUUUUAUAGAGAAAUUCUGCACGCAGAGUAGGCGCAUCCCAGAGGACAGCUACACAAAAAUGUGUGUCUUGUAACUGUCAUGUCUUCUCAUUCUAACACCAGACCUUCCCUCCCUCUAGGAUCGGCUAGGCUGUGUGUGCUCUGCUUUAAGAUAAAAGCGGGUGGUACCUCUGCCCAUAUCUAGAAAGGACAUAAGUUUCCUAAAAGGAGGUCAGGUGACUGCCUCCUCUAAUUAGACACUCUGGAGAAUAAGACAGAACCUUGGCCUUGGCCUUAGGAUUUCACCUCAAGGCUUGAUCCCCGUCCUCUCUCAGCUCCUAAAGCAUUGCUGGGCUGUACCUUGGCUUUAAAAGGCAAAUCUGAAGCAGGUGUGGUUUCUUCUGGUCCUGCAGCCAAACCCUCCCCUGCUGAGUUUAACUUGUGUUGCAGAACCAUUGAAGCAAAGGUCAGCUUUGGUCAUUGAAAAACCAACCAACCAAACCAAGCCAACCAAACCAAAACAGCCUAACCCUGGACUUGGGGACCAGGAGAUGGCUCAGCAACCUGAUUUUGAUCCCUGGAAAAAAACAACUUUUUUUCAGGUUGUUCUGUGGCUUCCACAUGGGUGUACACACACUCGUGUGUGCACACACACACAAGCCUGAGACUCAACAACUUUACAGCUGAAAACUGGGCUGCUGGCUGGUUGGUGGCACCCAUUGGUUGGGGUGCUUUGAUGGGAUCAGGUUGCAGUGGUCUGUAACCUCUCAACUCCUGCUGGGCUGUAUUGUCUGAGGGACUUUAUAUGCAGACCAUUGUCCAAGGCUGGGGGAUACGAGGACGGCGCAGGAACUGGUCAGUGCCUGCACAUAAGGAACUUCUGGGUGGGGGACACAGGAACCACGGUUGGAACACAGCUCUUAUCUACAUGACAGAAUAGAUAUGUAAACAGGUUUUGGGUGAGGUGAGAUCAUGAAACAAGACUGGUCUGGGCAGCACCUUGGUUCCUGGAGCAGAGAGAGGACGGGAAGAUACCCUUCAGCUGAGGGAAGCCAGGAAGGCUUGGACAGAAAGGGUACUUACUGUAGUUACGGGGAUUUGCACACCUGUGCUAGCUAGUUGUAGUAUUGCAUAUAUUCUGAGCCAGACGCUGUGCUGUGUGCUGGGGUUCUUUCUCCUCACUGCCCUCCUUUGAUGUGCACGAUACUUUUUGUUCCCACUUUACCUACUCUACUUACUUUGUUAGUACAAGGCAGAGAUGAGAUUUGAAACUGGCACUGUGCUAUACGACCUCACGUUGCAUCACAGCGAAUUUUUUCUGCGUUGCGGUUUGUUUUGCUCUUCGCCAUCUCCCCAGACCCCACAAGAGUGACUGAGUCUACGUCCUUGUAGUUGUUCCACAGUCAGUGUUUAUACCUGUAGCUCACUGGCCUCUCAGAUCUGCUUUGGUGAAGGUGCUGCUGGAGUCCCUGUCAGCACUGGAAGGAGCUGAGCCUGCCCUGCAUCUCUGAGUCCGGUGCCCUCUGAGCCAGGGUGAGGAGGCAGCUUGGCCAGAACUUGAGCUGUCGGGAAGCAGGACAGCCUGAUUGAAUUCCUUCUCUUCUGUGUUUUGAUUCUAAAACACUUAGCUGAGACUGUUGAGGCGCAUGGACAGAGGGCCUUACUUCCACAAUGGAAUUUUCCUUUGCUUCCUGUUUGGUAUUUUCCAGUAAUAUUUCUAUUAAUGUUUCACUUUCAGAGUCAGAGGUGCUGACUUCCUGAGAAGCGCGAACUUUCUCAAUGCCGAGCCAGGAAGGACUGACUUUUCCUCUUGGUCUUUCAGUUCCUUUCUCUUCUCUCCAAGGGGAGCUCUGGACUUCCCACCUUGCUGGAAAGGAAAAGCUUAGGGAGUGGGUUUCAGAGAGGAUGGGUUAUUCCGGACCCCGGGGAGGUGCUUACAAUAACGAAUGGUCAGAUAGUGGCUUCCCCAGGCCCAGAAGGAAGUAGCUUGGUGUGUGUGUGUGUGUGUGUGUGUGUGUGUGUGUAUGUGUUAGAAGGUGGAGAGGUCCUCUGGGCCGUAUUUGCUGCCUGAACCCAAAGUCUCCAACUGGAAUGAGGAUGGCCUCAUUCAUGUAUUCUCUUUUAUUUAUUCGACAUCUCUUGCUUAGAGAUGCUACAUGCCGGGCACUGCUCUGCGUAGGUGAUAAGAAUAGAGCUGUGCACCAAACAUGUAUACCUCACUCCUCCUGGGGGUAUGUAGGAUAGAGAGCCUAAGGUGGCUGUGUAUGGGUUGGAUGCCCUUUGAAAGAGAUUCAUUGAAGGGGCUUAACUAUAGGGUCAGUUGGUGUGAGCUGUAUCUCUUCCAAAGAGAACUGCAUACAAGAGAAAGACCAAGCAAGAAGGGAAGGCAGGAGCUGGCAGGGUUGCUCCAAGGACAGUGCAGAGGGCCACAUGUUUGGGCAGGGUAGGUGGAGACUGAGGGAUGUGGAACAGGCAGAGAAGUUGAGCCUUGUAGGUAUAGGAGAGAUCUUUCACUAGAACUCAAAGUGAAGUAGGAAGCCUGCAGAAAGUUCUGAACAGAGCUGUUGCAUGGACCGAUGCAGGUUUUAGAGAAGAUUGCUUCAGGGUUAUCAUGUAGCCUAGUGGCAGAGCACUUAGUCUACUGAGGUCUUUUAGAAUUUUUCUGUAAGCUCACCUUCCAGCCCCAUAGCAGGGCAUGGGUCACUCUGUCUGGGGCCAUCUUACCCUGUCCUUGUACCCAUCCCUCAUCUGGCAGUCUUGUUCCAGACAGAGGUCAUCCCUGUCUCCUGUGUACUUAGGAACCCUAACAGACCUUCCCUAUAGAAGCCAGUGACCACUCGUCUUCCCAGCUACUCAGGCCAAAACCUACCAGACAUGUUGGCCUCUCUUCUUACCGUGGGUUCUUACUUCAGAACUUGCCAGACCAGAUGUCUUCUCAUCAGCUGCCAAUGGGCACCCAAGUCCCAAUGGCUUCCGGUCCGUUCCCUCCACUCUGUUCUCUGAGUUAGUCAGAGCAAUCUUUUGGAAGUACUGAGGAUCAAACCC